rnacentral:rRNA from 1 species
UACGAAGGGUGCGAGCGUUGUUCGGAAUUACUGGGCGUAAAGGGCGUGUAGGCGGAUUGCAAAGAUAGAGGUGAAAGGCCUGGGCUCAACCUGGGAACUGCCUUUAUAACUUGCAGUCUAGAGAUCGAGAGAGGAUAGCGGAAUUCCUAGUGUAGAGGUGAAAUUCGUAGAUAUUAGGAAGAACACCAGUGGCGAAGGCGGCUAUCUGGCUCGAUACUGACGCUGAGGCGCGAAAGCGUGGGGAGCAAACAGG